rnacentral:rRNA from 1 species
AUUGAACGCUAGCGGCAUGCCUAACACAUGCAAGUCGAACGGAGCGGCGAACGGGUGAGUAAUGCAUCGGAACGUGCCCAGUAGCGGGGGAUAACUACGGGAAAGCGUCGCUAAUACCGCAUACUAUCAGCGGGGACGAUAGUGGAUGAGCUAGUUGGUGGGGUAAGGGCUUACCAAGGCGACGAUCCGUAGCUGGUUUGAGAGGACGAUCAGCCACACUGGGACUGAGACACGGCCCAGACUCCUACGGGAGGCAGCAGUGGGGAAUUUUGGACAAUGGGGGAAAGCCUGAUCCAGCCAUGCCGCGUGUGCGAUGAAGGCCUUCGGGUUGUAAAGCACUUUUGGUAGGAAAGCGGUACCUACAGAAUAAGCACCGGCUAACUACGUGCCAGCAGCCGCGGUAAUUC